rnacentral:rRNA from 1 species
UUAGAACGUCGUGAGACAGUUCGGUCCCUAUCUGCCGUGGGUGAAGGAAACUUGAAAGGAGCUGUCCCUAGUACGAGAGGACCGGGAUGGACACACCUCUGGUGUACCAGUUGUCGCGCCCGCGGCAUCGCUGGGUAGCUAUGUGUGGAAGGGAUAACCGCUGAAGGCAUCUAAGCGGGAAGCCCGCCUUGAAACGAGGUUUCCCUGAGAGCCGUGGCAGACCACCACGUUGAUAGGCCGGGUGUGGAAGCGCAGCAAUGCGUGAAGCUAACCGGUACUAAUCGCUCGAUUGGCUUGCGUUU